UAAUGCUUUCUUCAAGAAAAAAACAUAAAAUAAAUAUUGAUUUAUAUGCAUUCACUACAAGUUUAAAAUUCCAUAUUUUUUACAGAAACCAUACAUUUCAGGAAUGUGUUUAACUUGUAUUUAUCAGUGUUAAGAAAUAGUCAUGUUAAUAUACUGUGGACCAGCAAAUGACAAGUGAAGUACAAGAUAACAUAAGCAUUCAUUUUGUACAUUCAACAUUAGAUUUUGGGUGUAACGCUGUAACUUCUUUCAGUAUAACACAACCCAGUCUUGUUCAUCAGGUUAGGUGACUAAAGUGACACCAGAACACUAAACCUGUAUUAAAUAAAAUAAACCACAACAAUCUUGCUCAGAAUGCUAACUUCUUUUCUACCUUUUUUCCUCAAUGAAGACUGAACACAACAAACUUUAUUAGAUGUGACUGCUUUCUUUUGUAUCCUUUCAAACUCUGCUGUACUGAUUCUUGGCACUUGAGAUCACAUCACGUUUGCUAUAAUGCCUUCCUCUUUCUUUGGAAUUAGUACCAAAAUGAAAUGAAAAAUGUGUGGCUUCUGAUUGUUUUGAGUUGCCUUAAAGCCAACACCAACAGCAAAACUUCGCUGUUCAGAGAUUUGUUUGAGUUCGAAAAUGUAUUUUGAAUCGUUCAAAACCCUUAUAAGGGAAAUAACCCAUUGGCAGAACGAUCAAACUUGUCAAAUGGAACACUUAAGGCGACUUUGCAAUAACUUGAGAGGGCGGUGGACAAUAAAAUGGAGGGGGGGGGGAGGAAGCAGCCUUCUACGCCAGCGGGAUCUCAACGCUCUCCAGCAGCAGGACAGGGGUUUCCAUACUUCCAACUCGCGGCAUCACAGAGAAAGUUGGCACCGCGCGUCUCGCUAAGGAUGAUCGCCCCAGAUUGACUGUUCAUGUACAUCAACAACGGGCUCGAGUUUCCUGCACGCUUCACACGGCAAAUGGUGGGUGGUGGUGGUGGUGGUUGCUGACGGCGAUGCUAUUUCAAAGCGAGCACGGGACGCUGAUGUGAUUGGGAAGCAAUGACUUUGUUUGGAGCGAGGUGGGCCCCAAAACUCGCCUCCCGCGCCCGCCGUAUCUGCUCGGGCUUCCUUUCUCUUUGUACCGCUCGCGCCGAGCCCCUGGUAGGCGUGCUCUCGUGAAGGCGCCGCAUCGCUCCUGCAGCCGCCAAAGGAGGCAAACCAACCCCCACCAUGAGACCCUACCAGGCGUGCAACCCGCCCAGGCAGGCUACGAGGGGCGAUCGGGAGGGAAGGGGGUGGGCUGUACAUCCAGGCUCCUCCUUGUCCCUGAAAAUCUAACAAAAACAGGCCCGCGAGAAUCAAUGAGCAAACACAACAGGAAGGGGGACGGGGGGGGGGGGUGGAUGCCAAAAAAACUACACAUACACACACGCACCCCUCUUUCUUCGUUUCCUAAAAGCCAAGCAAAGUCCUCCGGACACCCUCCCUUUUGCACUCCAGGACGAUCAUGGAUGCCACCGGUUCUCACCCAGAAGCGGGCUCCCUCGAGAGUAACCUUCCAGGCUCCAGUCGUUUCUUCUCAGUAAGCCCGACCUUCUCCCACCCCAUGGUCCUCCAGGGCGAUGGCUAACUCCACGUUGGGGGGGGACGGACGGACGGACGGACGAAUCUUUCAUGAAGCUGCAGGUCACUUUUGACGUGAGUUCCAGACCGUACAUACAAACCCAGCCACAUCCAAGAGACUGUCCUCUCUUCGUAACUCUUUACUCAGGAGUAAGCAGGUUCCCGUGGGUUCAGCCACCAAGUACGCGCCUGCCAGCCGGAUGCUGCGCAGCCUUUGAAAUGCCCCUAGCUCUUAAAAUCAAUAGUUUUAGUCAUGCCUACUUCUGAUCGUAGACGGGCACACCUACUCGGGAAGAUGUGCAACGGCCUUCAGGGAGAUUGAGCAAGGAUGCGUAUGGCUGCAAAGAUCGGGUUGCAGACGUUUGUUUCCUGCACUCUUUCUGCUUAAUGGGCGGUAAUUCCCGAAACAGCCCUUUCUCGAGUCACACCGAAGUUAUCCGACGGGACUACUUCAAAGUAAGGGAUUUAAAAGCUCCCUGGCCAUCAGAAGACCCUGCGAUUUCCCUCCCUGAGGUGGGUACAAAUCCCUUUUUUCUCCCACGCUCCAAACGUCGACCAUGGGAACAUCACAGGCCGAUAAAGGGCCGAGUGGUUCAAAGCGGUUGUUCAAUCUUCAGGGUUAGACAGGACUAAAGCAAAGUGGGAAACGGAGGUGAAACUUCAGUUUGUUUUGCUUUUUUUACUGAGAGCUGGAACCGGCUCCUCGAGCGCAUUUCGCACCUGCUUCACCUCCUGAACUACUUUUUUUAAAAAAAGGGGAUGGGGCUAAACAGAAGUGGGGGGGGUGGAGGAAGGCCGUUUUCCUGCAACGACACGCUGCUUGCUGUUAGGCAGAGUUCAAAUCUGCCCUCGCCUCCCUCCACAGCAGAAUCCCUAUUGCAGAUUCUGUAGUGCGUAUAGGAUGAAUCGGAGCUCGCCUGCCGCGGGAGGAGCGAGCGUAGUAAGGCAUCGGAGGAACUGUAGUAAGAGGAGGCGGGGUGGGCGGGGCUUGGCCAGGCGUGGGCGGGGAGGGCGCUGAUUGGGCGGCGUGGCGCUCGGAAGCACUUUGUUUUCUAUGCUAAUGAGGGCGGAGUGGAAGCUUGUGGAUAUUUACGUUGAGGCGGGAGCCACCGCCCUUCAUUUUUUUUUAAUCCACAUGGUUUUCUUUUCCCUUCCUCCCCCCCCUCCCCGCCUCCUAUUCGCGCUCGCCCGAUGCCGCCGCCAUCGUCAGGGCCGCCACCGCGGUCUCCUCCCCCUACUUCCCGCCACUUCCCUGCGCUCUCAGGCAGAGGGGGGGAGGGGGUGGGGCGGGCGUUGAGAACGGCGGUUGGUUGGUCGGUCGGUCGGUCGCGGUACUAAACAAGCAAGCACUAGGGGAAAAAACUUCAAAGGUCGAUGCUACAGAAUUUGCCCUGAAGAAUAAAGAUUUGUUGUAUGAAAGGAUGGCAAAACACUUUUGAAUGAGAAGAAUCUGUUCAUGUUAGAGUAAUGUCAAAGUGCUUACAGUGCAGGAAAAAGAGCAAGGGAUGCCGCAAGGCGGAGUUCGAAGGAGAUGCUUUGAAACGCAAUGGAAUCAAGUCUCGGAGGCGGGACUGGUAGUGUGUAAGAUCUGCCCCUGCUCUCGCAGCAGGGCCCUCUUUCCUGGAACUGGAGAAAACGAAGAGCCAAGCUGUCGCCAGUCGGGAGUUAAGAUCAAGCUCUAGCUCGGUCCUCACAGCUUUUUAGGGUUGCAAGGAUUCUAGCUGUGUGGUUGUUUCGCCCCGGCGAGACGAAAGAGUUGGGGGAAGGGGGAGGCGGUGUGGAAACGGAGAGCAUGCCUUCUGUCGGAAUCGCAAAGAAAAAGCUGCGCAGGAUGGAAACCGUCUCUUGGGAAUUCCCAACGUUAUCUGGAAGCGAGGGUGAAAACAUGUACAAGGAUGCGGACGUUAAGAUAUCCAGCUGGAGGAAUACAUCGGAAAUGCAAAAGAGGUUGCUACGAGGAUGAACUGGUAGGAUGUAACUUCACACAGUUUAGCAUUUGCUGAGGUGUUCAAUUCCAGAAAUAAAUUUAAAGAGUGAAAUAUCUUAUUACGUCCUGAGCUCCAACAGAAAAAAUCAAGGUAUUUGCUGUACAGUACUACCUUUGGGUUGAAUCCAGCAAGACCCUUAUUUAUCUCAUCCCCCUCGUCUUUCACCCCGCUUGGUCUCCUUUUCUGCAAUCAGUAUCCGAGGAAAAAGUUGGAGGCAGCAAAGGGGAAUGAUCCCCUGAAGAUGAUAAUCUCCAUUUUGCUUUGCCACUGCGCUGAUUCUCAGUCCGAGCUAAUCGAGGGCAGGAAGGGGCAGCUACCGGCACGGACAGCGCGAAACGCUGAGAAAGGCGGCGGCUGGCAAGAGGAGCGCGAUGUUUAUUUGCUUGCCUCUUCCCGCUACGCCUCGUGUGGGCACCGAUUUCCUCCUUUCAGCAAGAGCGCAUCCUGUGAUUGGAGCGGAGCAGCUGUUUCCCCGACGGGGCUGGCUGGCUGGCUUCCUUCCUCCUGUCCUCUUGCCUGGUUUCCUUUCCACCGGCUGCUCUGGUCCCGCCGUGGUCGGUUCCGGAGAAGAGACGGAAGGCUUAUCUGUAUCCUUUAAAGGCUGUGUGCAGCAGAAUCGAGAGAGACAAUAUGUACAUGGAGAGAAAGAGAGUAGCUGAAGAUGGGAAGUUAGCACGGCUUUUUCUGACUAGAACUGAAUGGCAAGGGCGGCGCUUCACCCCAACUUGGGCGGGGUCUUUCCUGUUCAAGGAGCUGCCUGUGGGGGGUCAUCUGCUGAAUUUCUGCUCAUCAGGCUGUGUAUAGUACAAAGGAGAAACCUUCAAGAAAAACAUUGACAACAUUUUCGGAAGAGGUUAGCCUCGGUAGUCUAUUUCAGCAUACACAACAGAAACAAAACAGACAUUGAUACAAAAGUUCUGUGGCACCUGAAAGGCUUAGACCAAAUACUGCCAAGUAUCUCACACAUAAGGGUGGUCAUGGAAAUGCUUCUUGCAUUUUUCUGGGUGUCCACCACAUGCACAGGGAGGUGACUGAUUUUACAACCUGGCGGUGUCUAAGGGUAGAAUAGAUGGAUGGCAGCUGAUUUAUGCUCCAUGUUUCUAUCCUGACCAAUUUAUUUCAGUUUGAACUCUUAGCGCAUGCCGUCCAUUUGUGUCUGAGGAAGCGGAUGGUAAUCUGCAAAAGCUGGCUUUCACAACCGAAAUCCAUUUAGUGGUUAUAACUGUAUUAGUCCAAAUAAUUAGGUACAGUAUUUGAAGAACUGUCUCAUAUACAAUCCUGUUAGUUCAACACACUCAAAAUUAGGGGCCUUAUUGCGUGUCCCACAAAAAUCCAGGUGGAUGCAGUGUGAGAGAGUAGCACUCAGAUUGUGGAAGUCUCUAACCUGAAGAGAAUCAGCCCUCUCACAUGCUCGCUCCCUUCUAAAGCUACUAGUGAACUGCUGCAUUUUAUAACAUUGUACUUCUUCCUUUUAAUUAAAGGAUUAAAGUUCUACCUGAUUUUAUUUUUGUUGAAUAGUUUUUGCCCUGCUCUCGGCUAUAUUGUACAAUAUUUUAGUAAUAUAGACUAUUUUGACUGUGUUUUAUUAAUUUUUUAAACAUUUUCAAUAAGCUGCCUUGAGUUUAUUAGAGAAAGAAGAAUGUCUUAUAUAUGUUAAAAAUAAAUAAACAAAAUGACUAUUCCAUCCUGCCCUGCAGCUGCUUUCUCAUGCAUUCAAGAUCCUUCAUUUGCAACUAUGCUACAUCUCUGUAUUGGUGCAUGCAUAGCCCCACCACUGGAAAGCAAAUUAUCCACCUCAUGCAUGCUUUGGCUGCAGAUUGGAUUGAAUAUGUGAAGAAAACAAUCCCAUGUGUACCUGCUCAGAAGUGAGUCCCAUAGAGUUCGUUGAGUUUAGGGCCACCACCAUAGUCUUAAUGAUAAAAUAUCAAUAUGGGAGAUGUAGUCCUUUUCUUAAAAGGAAGAAUUAGCAUUUCAUAACUAAUGAAUGGCAAAUACAGAUUUUCAGUUGGGAGCUGCAUGUACAGCUUAGACCAGCAGAUCAUCUUGCCAUGCAUCAAGGGAUAUAUUAGGAUUUGCAUUAGAAAGCUUCUGUAAGCUUCUUUUCUACUAUGUAAUUUUAUGUGAAUUGAGCUUGCUAAUGGCAAGCAAGAAAUUAUAUAUAUGCGCUCCAUUAUGGAUAUCCUGCAUACUUUAUUGUAAAGUCUAAUUUUACAGAGGUUCUUGUGCUUACUCUAAUACACAAAAUCUAGUAAAGAUGCAUGAAACAGAAGAAAUUUGUGAUCCUGUUGGGUAGAUUUUUUAAAAGACUGAUUAUUACCCAAAUUUUUUUCUGCAGUUAUGAGACAAAUAUAUGAUAUGUGCUUUUUACAGAAUUCUUUUUUCAUAAUUUUGAGAUGAGUAUGUGAUAUAUACGGUACAUUUUACAGAAUUCUUUUCUAUCUGCUGUAUGUCUGUAUUUUCUAGGGAAUGCUUAAUAUGCUUCUCCCAUUAUAAGAAUCUUUCACUAUGAUGAUAAAGG